rnacentral:rRNA from 1 species
GACGAACGCUGGCGGCGUGCUUAACACAUGCAAGUCGAACGGAAAGGCCCUGCUUUUGUGGGGUGCUCGAGUGGCGAACGGGUGAGUAACACGUGAGUAACCUGCCCUUGACUUUGGGAUAACUUCAGGAAACUGGGGCUAAUACCGGAUAGGAGCUCCUGCUGCAUGGUGGGGGUUGGAAAGUUUCGGCGGUUGGGGAUGGACUCGCGGCUUAUCAGCUUGUUGGUGGGGUAGUGGCUUACCAAGGCUUUGACGGGUAGCCGGCCUGAGAGGGUGACCGGCCACAUUGGGACUGAGAUACGGCCCAGACUCCUACGGGAGGCAGCAGUGGGGAAUAUUGCACAAUGGGCGGAAGCCUGAUGCAGCAACGCCGCGUGCGGGAUGACGGCCUUCGGGUUGUAAACCGCUUUCGCCUGUGACGAAGCGUGAGUGACGGUAAUGGGUAAAGAAGCACCGGCUAACUACGUGCCAGCAGCCGCGGUGAUACGUAGGGUGCGAGCGUUGUCCGGAUUUAUUGGGCGUAAAGGGCUCGUAGGUGGUUGAUCGCGUCGGAAGUGUAAUCUUGGGGCUUAACCCUGAGCGUGCUUUCGAUACGGGUUGACUUGAGGAAGGUAGGGGAGAAUGGAAUUCCAGGUGGAGCGGUGGAAUGCGCAGAUAUCAGGAGGAACACCAGUGGCGAAGGCGGUUCUCUGGGCCUUUCCUGACGCUGAGGAGCGAAAGCGUGGGGAGCGAACAGGCUUAGAUACCCUGGUAGUCCACGCUGUAAACGGUGGGUACUAGGUGUGGGGUCCAUUCCACGGGUUCCGUGCCGUAGCUAACGCUUUAAGUACCCCGCCUGGGGAGUACGGCCGCAAGGCUAAAACUCAAAGGAAUUGACGGGGCCCCGCACAAGCGGCGGAGCAUGCGGAUUAAUUCGAUGCAACGCGUAGAACCUUACCUGGGUUUGACAUGGAUCGGGAGCGCUCAGAGAUGGGUGUGCCUCUUUUGGGGUCGGUUCACAGGUGGUGCAUGGCUGUCGUCAGCUCGUGUCGUGAGAUGUUGGGUUAAGUCCCGCAACGAGCGCAACCCUUGUUCACUGUUGCCAGCACGUUAUGGUGGGGACUCAGUGGAGACCGCCGGGGUCAACUCGGAGGAAGGUGGGGAUGACGUCAAGUCAUCAUGCCCCUUAUGUCCAGGGCUUCACGCAUGCUACAAUGGCUGGUACAGAGAGUGGCGAGCCUGUGAGGGUGAGCGAAUCUCGGAAAGCCGGUCUCAGUUCGGAUUGGGGUCUGCAACUCGACCUCAUGAAGUCGGAGUCGCUAGUAAUCGCAGAUCAGCAACGCUGCGGUGAAUACGUUCCCGGG